UUGAAAGAUGGUUUCGGCUAUCGCUUACAGAUGGGCCCGCGGUGCAUUAGCUAGUUGGUAGGGUAAUGGCCUACCAAGGCAACGAUGCAUAGCCGACCUGAGAGGGUGAUCGGCCACACUGGGACUGAGACACGGCCCAGACUCCUACGGGAGGCAGCAGUAGGGAAUCUUCCGCAAUGGACGAAAGUCUGACGGAGCAACGCCGCGUGUAUGAAGAAGGUUUUCGGAUCGUAAAGUACUGUUGUUAGAGAAGAACAAGGAUAAGAGUAACUGCUUGUCCCUUGACGGUAUCUAACCAGAAAGCCACGGCUAACUACGUGCCAGCAGCCGCGGUAAUACGUAGGUGGCAAGCGUUGUCCGGAUUUAUUGGGCGUAAAGCGCGCGCAGGCGGUCUUUUAAGUCUGAUGUGAAAGCCCCCGGCUUAACCGGGGAGGGUCAUUGGAAACUGGAAGACUGGAGUGCAGAAGAGGAGAGUGGAAUUCCACGUGUAGCGGUGAAAUGCGUAGAUAUGUGGAGGAACACCAGUGGCGAAGGCGACUCUCUGGUCUGUAACUGACGCUGAGGCGCGAAAGCGUGGGGAGCAAACA
rnacentral:rRNA from 1 species